ensembl:lncRNA
CCUCUACACUCUAGCUGCAGUGAUGCUGAUGCUGCGUCAGAUCAUCUUCAGACCGGAGGAGCGCAGCAGGUACGAGCUCAUGAAGAUUUCUCCUCAUCUGACUGAAGGUGAUCUCAGAUCUGAGUGCUUCUGUGAUUUCUCUGUGCCGUUUGAUGUGUGUGUGUGUGUGUGUGUGUGUAUGUGUGAUGUGUGUGUGUUUUCUCUGACCGGUUCAGUGCUGACAGACAGACUCAGAGGAGACACGGUGACAUACGUGAAUAUUCCCACCAGCCCCACGUCCAAAAAACAGCUGCAUUACAUGGAACUGGAGCUGCAGGAGUCCANCCAGCGCCGCCGUCAGAGGUAAAAGCUCCAGUAAAUACGCUCAGAUUGACAUCACAGCGAUGGAGGCGGCUCACAGAGCGGGUUCCCAGCAUGCACUGGGGAGAGAGGAAGGCCUACAGAGACUGGAGCAGCAGAGGAGACGACAAGGACUUCCUCACACUGAAGAUCGACUCUUCUCUUGACAAACUGACCAAAACACUUGCAUCAGUCGAGACAGUAAAACACAGAAUGUAGUGUAGUGUCUAGUAUAGUGUAGUAGUAUGUAGUGUAGUACAGUGUCAUCAUGUGGAUUCAAUGUGUAGUGGAUGAGUGCACGUGUCAAACACAGCAUAUACACAAACGUUUGAAAUACAGGAAUAUAUAUUCACGUCACAUGCUUAGACCAACCUGUAAAACACACAUUCAGUCUACAGUGAGCCGCUGCUACGUGAAUCUGUUUCUGUAUUCUCAUGUUAGAUAAAUGUGUGCAAUGCACAGAAAUGCAUUUUUAAUUUAUUUUAAUUUAUUUCAUUUUAAAACGCUGAAUAUUAGUUGUAUUGCUUUCGAGUUGCAUCUGUAUUAAAAAGGCUGCAUUUGUGUAGUAGCAUCUUUAGUCUUUUUAUUAACCUAAAUUCAAGUGUAUUGAGUCAUUUUUACAUUACUUAUUUUGUAUUUUGUACAUUACAGGGCUGUAUUUUCUCUUUUUCUUUUCAGCACUGAAGGAAGUGAACACAAUGUGUGUCUUUGUUUGUAUUGGAAAUUGGAAUCAUUUUGUCAUAUAUUGUGAUUGCAGUUUGAACUGCGAUAUGUUAACAUAUACCAAUGCUGUUAGAUAUGUAUAUUAUAUGUAGAUAUAUUAAAACAUAAUUACUUAAAAUGUACUUUAAAGCCUAACCUUUAAUUUGACAUUAUUACAAAGAAAAUGUUCUUUGAAGUGUACUUAAAUAUGUUUAGAAACAUAGUCACUUAAGCUGACUUUUAUUUAAUUAUUUACAUAUUGCUAAACUAUAUCUGACCCACAUGAAACUCAUAAUAAAAUACAAUAUAUAUAUAUAUAUAUAUAUAUA